AAGCGAUGCCUCAUGUGAAAGGAUUGGCCAUCUUGGACGACUGUGAAGAGAACCACAAGCUGCUGAAGAAAUUACCUGACUGGAUCACACGAAGAUGGAGCAGAGUCGUCACGGAAAGGCCACAGAUGACAGGCAGCCCAAGAGAGCUAGAGCACUUCACACAAACACUAAAAGGAACAAUCCCACAGAAAAUGUUGAGAAAGUGUUCAGCACAAAGUCGAAGCCACCUUGUCCUAUCUGCAAAGAUGAGAUGCACGGCGUCGUAAAGUGCCCUACAUUUGCAGCAAAAUCUCUGGAAGAUAAGAAAGCCUUCAUACGGGAAAACAAUUUGUGCUACGGAUGUUUGAGAAAGGGACAUAACAGUAAGGAUUGCAAAACGCGACACACUUGUGUCAUAUGCAGCAGACGUCACCCCACCUGUCUACAUGAAGAGAGAGAGAACCGAUCUGUGGAAGCAAAAGAGAAACAGUCCACUUCCACAGAUAAAGACGUUAGUCAGGAAGAGAUCAAAGUGACGUCCCAUGCAGUGACGCAGCGCGUCUUUGCCACAUCAAGCAUCGUCCCUGUUUUCAUGUCAUCUGCAAAUGAACCACAGAAAGAAGUUAUAACGUAUGCUCUUCUAGACACGCAGAGUGAUUCGACAUUCGUCUUGGAAGACCUACUCGAAGAGCUGAACGUGGAGACAAAACCAGUACAGCUUAAAUUGAGCACCAUGACAGCUGUUCCAUGACAGUCUUUUGCUUGCUGUAGCAUAGCAAGCAAAAGUGUCUGUGGUCUACAAGUUCGAGGACUAGAGUCUGGAAAACAGAUUCAGCUGCGCCAAGCCUAUACUCGUGGUUUCAUCCCGGUCGACAAGUCCUACAUUCCGACUUCCGAAACAGCGCUGCUCUGGCCUCAUCUAAAGCAUCUAGCAAACAAACUUCCACUGCUGAAGGACUGUGAGGUGGGACUGUUAAUUGGAAACGAUUGCCCGUUGGCGCUAGCCCCCCAGGAAGUCGUCAUAGGAGGCGAAAAUGAUCCAUUCGCCCAGAGAACGGAACUCGGCUGGAGCAUCGUAGGCUAAUCCAAUCCACAUCUGGAUCGCCAGGGAAACCAGAGGUUCGUCCAUCGAGUGACAGUGAAGGAAAUACCAGCGCCAUCAACCAAUGACGUGCUGAAGGUCUUGGAAUCAGACUUCAAUGAAAGGAAGUAUGCAGAUAAAGACAAGUAUGUGUCACAAGACGACGUUCGCUUCAUUCAGCUCCUGGGUGACAACAUAACUCAAAGGAAAGAUGGACACUAUGAAAUGCCCCUUCCUUUCAAGAGUACAGAGCCACCUCUGCUACCAGACAACAAGAAGCUGGCAACAGUUCUACUGCAGCACCUAAAGAAAAGAUUGAAAAAUAACGAGCGGUAUGAAGAACCGU
ensembl:lncRNA